rnacentral:misc_RNA from 1 species
AGCAGCCGCGGUAAUUCCAGCUCCAAUAGCGUAUAUUAAAGUUGUUGCAGUUAAAAAGCUCGUAGUUGAAUUUCGGGAUUGGCGUAUCGGUCGUGCCUCACGGGGUAUGAACUGGUGCAGUCAAUUUCUCACCUUCUGGAGAACCGCGAUGUCCUUAAUUGGAUGCCGUGGGGAACCAGGACCUUUACUUUGAAAAAUUAGAGUGUUUAAAGCAGGCAUUUUUGCUUGAAUACAUUAGCAUGGAAUAAUAAAAUAGGACGGCAUGGUUCUAUUUUGUUGGUUUCUAGGACCACCGUAAUGAUUAAUAGGGAUAGUUGGGGGCAUUAGUAUUCAAUUGUCAGAGGUGAAAUUCUUGGAUUUAUUGAAGACUAACUACUGCGAAAGCAUUUGCCAAGGAUGUUUUCAUUAAUCAAGAACGAGAGUUAGGGGAUCGAAGACGAUCAGAUACCGUCGUAGUCUUAACCAUAAACUAUGCCGACUAGGAAUCAGACGAUGUUAAUUUUUAAUGUACUUCGUUGGC